UGUCAAUAGUGAGACUGCGGACGGCUCAGAAAUCAGUUAUAAUCCGUUCGAAAGUAAACCCAUUGGAUAACCGUGGGAAAUCUAGAGCUAAUACAUGUAGAGACAAUGUUUGUCGGCUUGCCGGCAGGCAUUAGCAUUUAUUAGAAAAAACCAACUGAUUGCAAAUGGUGGAAACGCUGUCUGCAAUCAAGGUGAAUCUAGAUAACUGAGCUAAUCGCAUAGCCUUGUGCUGGCGAUGUUUCGAUCGAAUUUCUGCCCUAUCAACUUGUUGGUAAGGUAGUGGCUUACCAAGGUUGCAACGGGUAACGGGGAAUCAGGGUUCGAUUCCGGAGAGGGAGCCUGAGAAACGGCUACCACAUCCAAGGAAGGCAGCAGGCGCGCAAAUUACCCAAUCCAGACAAUGGGAGGUGGUGACCAGAAGUACUGUGUGGUGGAUUUAUAUCUACCAAUCACGGAAUGAGCAUAAAGUAAAAAUUUAGUCGAGUAACAACUGGAGGGCAAGUCUGGUGCCAGCAGCCGCGGUAAUUCCAGCUCCAGUAGCAUGUCGUAAAGUUGUUGCGUUUAAAACGCUCGUAGUUGGAUUAUACAGUGACACAUGGUUAGUUCAUAUUGGUCCAACAAACUAACUGCUGCAAAUAUACGCACGCAGUUAAUUCUGUGUGUGUUGUUUGUAGUAGUGUCGGUCAAGUGAAUUUUUUGCCAUGUGUCACUAGUUGCGCGUAAGAAUGAUGAUUGGCCUUUAGUGCGUUGGUCAUUGUGUCUUACGGGAUGUGCCUUGAAAAAAUCAGAGUGCUUAAAGCAGGCUUGUGCCUGAAUGAUACAGCAUGGAACGAACAAUCGUGUAAAGUGCUCACAUGUUGUCUUGUAUGGUGUGCAUACCGUAACAAGUUUGUACGACAUGCAAACACAAUGUGUGAGUACAUCACCAACCGCCAUGUACGGAUGUUGGUUUCCGUAUUGGGGUGAUGAUUAAAACGAGCGGUUGGGGGCAUUGGUAUUUGGCCGCGAGAGGUGAAAUUCUUAGACCGGCCAAGGACUAACAAAAGCGAAGGCAUUUGCCAAGACCGUCUCGAUUAAUCAAGAACGAAAGUGAGCGGAUCGAAGACGAUCAGAUACCGUCCUAGUGCUCACCAUAAACUAUGCCAACCCGGGAUUAGCUUAGAGCAUUGCAAAGGCUCCAGGUUGGUCCCCCUGGGAAACCUCAAGUUUUUGGGUUACGGGGGGAGUAUGGUCGCAAGGCUGAAACUUAAAGGAAUUGACGGAAGGGCACCACCAGGGGUGGAGCCUGCGGCUUAAUUUGACUCAACACGGGAAAACUCACCCGGUCCUGACGUUAAAAGGAUAGACAGACCAAUAGAUCUUUCUUGAUAUGAUGUGUGGUGGUGCAUGGCCGUUCUUAGUUCGUGGAGCGAUUUGUCAGGUUAAUUCCGGUAACGGACGAGACCCAAAUCCACAUUUACGACACGCAAUAGCCUGCGAUAUGCAAGUACCGUAGGCUCUAGCCGGUGCAGAUAGUUGAUGGUACAUACUUGAUGCUAUUUGUAACGGCUAUUCUUGUGUGACGCUGUAUGCAGCAAUGUGUACAGUUGCAUGUGGAGACAACUGACUAUAAUAUAAAAUCAGAGGAGGUUGGGCAAUAACAGGUCUGUGAUGCCCUUAGAUGUUCGGGGCUGCACGCGCGCUACAAUGAUGACAGCAACGAGAUAUCUGGGCCGAAAGGCUUGGGAAAUCUGUGAAUUGUCAUCGUGAUGGGGAUUGUCCAUUGUAAUUUGGACAUGAAAUAGGAAUCCCUUGUACAUGCACUUCAUCUUAAAGUGCGUGGAAUGAGUCCCUGCCCUUUGUACACACCGCCCGUCGCUACUACCGAGUGAAUGGUGUCAUGAUGCGUUGGGACUGGACGUCGUAAGGUUUAUGCCUGACGAUGCUAGGAUCAAUG
rnacentral:rRNA from 1 species